rnacentral:rRNA from 1 species
GCGUGGAGACAGGUGGUGCAUGGCUGUCGUCAGCUCGUGUCGUGAGAUGUUGGGUUAAGUCCCGCAACGAGCGCAACCCUCACCUCUAGUUGCCACCAGGUCAUGCUGAGCACUCUAGAGGAACUGCCCCGGUCAACGGGGAGGAAGGCGGGGAUGACGUCAAGUCAUCAUGCCCCUUACGUCCUGGGCUACACACGUGCUACAAUGGCCGGUACAAAGGGAUGCGAGGCCGCGAGGUAGAGCUAAUCCCAAAAAGCCGGUCUAAGUUCAGAUUGCAGUCUGCAACUCGACUCCAUGAAGGAGGAAUCGCUAGUAAUCGCGUAUCAGCACGGCGCGGUGAAUACGUUCCCGGGCCUUGUACACACCGCCCGUCACACCACGAAAGCCUAUCUGUACUCGAAGUCGCUGAG